UGUUCGUUCAUCAGUCUGGUUCACCACGCCGGAUUGGUAAAAGCGGCGCGGCGCUGUCAGACCGGCGUCGAUUCUUCGCACGGUGAGGCCCCCUCGGGCGCUGGCAGCCAGGAUCGAAGCGUCCCCUGCCGGAUCAGCGCCACGGACGAGCAGCGGCUGCGGCUUCCGGCGGCAAGGCGGUGCGGGCGGCCAGGAUCCAAGCGCCCCCUACCGGAUCAGCGCCGCGGACGAGCAUCGGCUUCCGACGGCGCAGGGCAGCAGCGGCUUCCGGCGGCAAGGCGGUGCACCAGCGGUGGGUGACGCAGAUUGUGGAUUCUGUGAUUGCACUGUUCCGUGUUGAUUUUAGUGGCAGGGGUGAACUUGCAGAGCGUCAGUUAGCACAGAUGCUGUCCCGCCUUACCAAGAUUGCUGAGGAGUUCAAUGUUGCAGUGUACAUCACCAACCAAGUGAUUGCUGAUCCAGGUGGUGGCAUGUUCAUAACCGAUCCAAAGAAACCAGCAGGAGGCCAUGUGUUGGCGCAUGCUGCCACCAUCAGAUUGAUGCUGAGGAAAGGCAAAGGCGAAAACGUGUCUGCAAGAUUUUUGAUGCCCCUAACCUUCGUGAGGGAGAAGCU